rnacentral:rRNA from 1 species
UACGGAGGGUGCAAGCGUUAUCCGGAUUCACUGGGUUUAAAGGGUGCGUAGGUGGGCAAGUAAGUCAGUGGUGAAAUCUCCGGGCUUAACCCGGAAACUGCCAUUGAUACUAUUUGUCUUGAAUACUGUGGAGGUCAGCGGAAUAUGUCAUGUAGAGGUGAAAUGCUUAGAUAUGACAUAGAACACCAAUUGCGAAGGCAGCUGGCUACACAAAUAUUGACACUGAGGCAAGAAAGCGUGGGGAUCAAACAGG